ensembl:snRNA U2 U2 spliceosomal RNA
AUCGCUUCUCGGCCUUUUGGCUCAGAUCAAGUGUAGUAUCUGUUCUUAUCAGUUUAAUAUCUGAUACGUCCCCCAUCGGGGGGACUACAUAUUAAAUGGAUUUUUCGAACAGGGAGUCGGAAAUGGGGCUUGCUCCGUCCGCUCCACGCAUCGACCCGGUAUUGCAGUACCUCCGGGAACGGUGCAACACUU